rnacentral:misc_RNA from 1 species
GAUGAAGAACGCAGCGAAAUGCGAUAAGUAGUGUGAAUUGCAGAAUUCAGUGAAUCAUCGAAUCUUUGAAUGCACAUUGCGCCCCUUGGUAUUCCAUGGGGCAUGCCUGUUCGAGCGUCAUUUGUACCCUCAAGCUAAGCUUGGUGUUGGGUGUUUGUCCACUCCCUCGUGUUUGGACUCGCCUUAAAACAAUUGGCAGCCAGUGUUUUGGUAUUGAAGCGCAGCACAAUUUGCGAUUCUAGCCUAGAAUACUAGCAUCCAUCAAGUCAUUUUUAACGCUUGACCUCGGAUCAGGUAGGGAUACCCGCUGAACUUAAGCAUAUCAAUAAGCGGAGGA